rnacentral:lncRNA from 1 species
UUUUUAGCAGUUCAUCACGCCAUCGUGUUAGUAUUGUUGAACUGAUGAAUUCGAGCAUUUGUACUAAUACUGUCAUUUCGUUGUACUGAUUCUGAUGUGUAUUUUGUCUGUCCUCGAGCGUUUGUACUGAUUCUGAUGUGUAUUGAUGAAUUCGAGCGUUUGUACUGAUACUGUCAUUUUGUUGUACUGAUUCGAGUGUUUGUACUGAUUCUGAAGGUCGAACAGGGGAACAACACAUUAUAAGAAACAAAAUACACAUUUGAAGAAACAAAAUAGGGGGAUAACCAUUGCACAUGGUCUCAUGUGUGCCUUCAUCAUAGAAAAAUAGAGUGGAUAUCUCCAAGUUCUAAGGUUGAGCAAAUCAAACAUACAGAAUAUUGUCCAAAACCCCGCAUUUUUUCUCACUAAAACAAACUUCUGUACUUGCAUACAACCCUCUUUGAACUUGGACGGCAUCUAGCGCUCAACUUGGACGAUGACCAGUGCUCAACUUGAACGGAGGAGAUUGUCGUUGCUUUUAACCAUGAAUGCUUCUAAAGACACUAGGUAUUGCUUCAAAACUUCUUUAUACUUUUCAACAUGAGGGUUCUCUCAGUUGGGCCAAGAAGUAACCCAUACAUCUUAUUUUUAUUCUGCAAGAACGAAACACUGCAAUGAUUAACAACUAAUCUAUCAGUACAUCCAGAACAAUUUCAGUUUUCAGAACAAACUUCCAUUGAUGUGUUAAACUCUGAAUCUGUAUAUAGGACAUGAUGGGUCUCAGGCUACUUACAAAAUAGGUUGCAUUAGGGGAGAAAUUACCUCUAUCUCCUGCCCGGAUAAAGGAUAUGUACUUCUAAUACACGAACAACAGAACUGAAGUGGCUCUUGUCACCGAUCUGUAGUCGCUCCAGCCUCCCUCGUGCUGCAUUCAGGGAGAAAAUAAAUUAGUGACAGAAAGGGGAUUUAGAGAGGAAGAGAAACAGAUGGGGAGGGCAUUAUAAUGAAGUGCAAGAUCAUUAUUUACUUGCAGCUGAGAAAUGUAUCAAUGCUUAACUAUAACGAAGUGCAGACAUAGUGAAAAAGCAUCAAAAUGUUGAUCAACUAAUACUAAAUUCUCUUAAAAACCAACACUAACAUGUAUUGUUUGCUUAGUCUGGGAUGGACUGUCAUUUCUGAAGGCACUUAAUUACCUUUAUUGCACACAUAAUAUUUCAAGAUUUCCUCAAGAUUUGCACAUUUAAAGCACAAUGCAACGAAAGAACACACAACUUGAACCGAGAAUCAAACUGAAAGUUGGGGUAGCAUGCCUGUGAGAGGGAGGUCGAGGGCAGCAGGGCGUGUAGUGGACCAAGGACUUAGCUAUACGGGGCCGGCAGCGGCGCUAGCGUGCGAAGAACCCCAGCCAUAGUUCAGAGAGUACAAACUAAAUGAAUAGUAGCUGAUCCAUCAGCGAGCAUGAAUCAGAAAGAAAAUGUUCAAAGAAAAAUGAGAUGGCGUUCUCACUGUGUGGGUGCUCAAUGGGUGCAGCGCUGGGUGAAGAUGGUGGUCGCAGUAA